rnacentral:rRNA from 1 species
UGGGGAAUUUUGGACAAUGGGGGCAACCCUGAUCCAGCCAUGCCGCGUGCGGGAAGAAGGCCUUCGGGUUGUAAACCGCUUUUAGCCGGGAAGAAAAGGGCACGGAUAACACCCGUGUUUUUUGACGGUACCGGCGGAAUAAGCACCGGCUAACUACGUGCCAGCAGCCGCGGUAAUACGUAGGGUGCGAGCGUUAAUCGGAAUUACUGGGCGUAAAGCGUGCGCAGGCGGUUCGUUGUGUCGGUGGUGAAAGCCCCGGGCUUAACCUGGGAAUGGCCAUGGAAACUGGCGAACUGGAGUGUGGCAGAGGGGGGUGGAAUUCCGCGUGUAGCAGUGAAAUGCGUAGAGAUGCGGAGGAACACCGAUGGCGAAGGCAGCCCCCUGGGCUAACACUGACGCUCAGGCACGAAAGCGUGGGGAGCAAACAGGAUUAGAUACCCCCGUAGUCC